CUCUUAUUCAGAGUGGUGGAGGUACAUAGGACCUGUGAAGCCACGGCAACCCCUCUACGGAAGGUGCCAACCUGAGCGAGUAAUCGAACAAUAAGAG
rnacentral:ncRNA from 2 species